rnacentral:lncRNA from 1 species
UUUGAAUCAUUUAAUCACCAGCAAUAAUAUUAGGAUACUGCUCUCAAAUUUUUGUCUAAAAAAAUAUUAUCAUUAUAUUGAUCUGACAUAAUUGAUUAUGUCAUAAAAUAUUACUAAAAUAAAUAUACAUCAUCAUCAUGGCUAAUGGUGUUGCUGCCCCUCCCACGUGCGAAGCUGCCCGGAGCCUGGGUUUUUCUGAUAGCAAGUCUUUUUGUUCUGAGGGUCGAC